ACGAGAUGAGGAUGGUCAUUGUCAUUUUCUGAGCUGCGAACGGGCAGAAAGCUACACAACGAGAUGAGGAUGGUCAUUGUCAUUUUCUUAGCUGCGAACGGGCAGAAAGCUACACAACGAGAUGAGGAUGGUCAUUGUCAUUUUCUGAGCUGCGAACGGGCAGAAAGCGACACAACGAGAUGAGGAUGGUCAUUGUCAUUUUCUGAGCUGCGAACGGG